rnacentral:rRNA from 1 species
GAUGAACGCUAGCUAUAGGCUUAACACAUGCAAGUCGAGGGGAAACGGCAUUAUGUGCUUGCACACUUUGGACGUCGACCGGCGCACGGGUGAGUAUCGCGUAUCCAACCUUCCCUCCACUCGGGGAUACCCCGUUGAAAGACGGCCUAAUACCCGAUGUUGUCCACAGAUGGCAUCUGACGUGGACCAAAGGUUCAUCGGUGGAGGAUGGGGAUGCGUCUGAUUAGCUUGUUGGUGCGGGUAACGGCCCACCAAGGCGACGAUCAGUAGGGGUUUGAGAGGAAGGUCCCCCACAUUGGAACUGAGACACGGUCCAAACUCCUACGGGAGGCAGCAGUGAGGAAUAUUGGUCAAUGGACGUAAGUCUGAACCAGCCAAGUAGCGUGCAGGAUUGACGGCCCUAUGGGUUGUAAACUGCUUUUGUUGGGGAGUAAAGUGAGGCACGCGUGCCUUUUUGCAUUUACCCUUCGAAUAAGGACCGGCUAAUUCCGUGCCAGCAGCCGCGGUAAUACGGAAGGUCCAGGCGUUAUCCGGAUUUAUUGGGUUUAAAGGGAGUGUAGGCGGUCUGUUAAGCGUGUUGUGAAAUUUAGGUGCUCAACAUUUAACUUGCAGCGCGAACUGGCGGACUUGAGUGCACGCAACGUAUGCGGAAUUCAUGGUGUAGCGGUGAAAUGCUUAGAUAUCAUGACGAACUCCGAUUGCGAAGGCAGCGUACGGGAGUGUUACUGACGCUUAAGCUCGAAGGUGCGGGUAUCGAACAGGAUUAGAUACCCUGGUAGUCCGCACGGUAAACGAUGGAUGCCCGCUGUUAGCGCCUGGCGUUAGCGGCUAAGCGAAAGCAUUAAGCAUCCCACCUGGGGAGUACGCCGGCAACGGUGAAACUCAAAGGAAUUGACGGGGGCCCGCACAAGCGGAGGAACAUGUGGUUUAAUUCGAUGAUACGCGAGGAACCUUACCCGGGCUUGAAUUGCAGACGCAGGAUACAGAGAUGUUGACUCCCUUCGGGGCGUCUGUGAAG